rnacentral:tRNA from 1 species
GGAGGGUUCGCCUAAUGGUAGGGCAGUAGUCUUGAAAACUACCGGGAUAAAACCCUUAGAGGUUCGAGUCCUCUACCCUCCG